UACGUAGGGGGCUAGCGUUGUCCGGAAUCAUUGGGCGUAAAGCGCGUGUAGGCGGUCCGGUAAGUCCGCUGUGAAAGUCGAGGGCUCAACCCUCGAAUGCCGGUGGAUACUGUCGGGCUUGAGUACGGGAGAGGCGAGUGGAAUUCCUGGUGUAGCGGUGAAAUGCGCAGAUAUCAUUUGGAACGCCAAUGGUGAAAACAGGUAGCUGGGGCUGUGCUGACACUGAGACACGAAAGCCAGGGGAGCAAACGGG
rnacentral:rRNA from 1 species